GACGAAGGGGGCAAGCGUUGUUCGGAAUUACUGGGCGUAAAGGGCGCGUAGGCGGUUCUUUAAGUCAGGCGUGAAAGCCCUGGGCUCAACCUGGGAGUGGCGCUUGAUACUGGAGGACUAGAGAGUGGGAGAGGUUGGUGGAAUUCCCAGUGUAGAGGUGAAAUUCGUAGAUAUUGGGAAGAACACCGGUGGCGAAGGCGGCCAACUGGACCAUUUCUGACGCUGAGGCGCGAAAGCGUGGGGAGCAAACAGG
rnacentral:rRNA from 2 species